rnacentral:rRNA from 1 species
UCCCUACGGGAGGCAGCAGUGAGGAAUAUUGGUCAAUGGACGAGAGUCUGAACCAGCCAAGUAGCGUGAAGGAUGACUGCCCUAUGGGUUGUAAACUUCUUUUAUAUGGGAAUAAAGUGCAGUAUGUAUACUGCUUUGCAUGUACCUUAUGAAUAAGGAUCGGCUAACUCCGUGCCAGCAGCCGCGGUAAUACGGAGGAUCCGAGCGUUAUCCGGAUUUAUUGGGUUUAAA